UUUUAUUCCAUUUCGUUCCAUUUCUUCAUACUUAUACCAAAUAUAAGUAUUUUGUUUAAACUAAUAUAGAUACAUACAUUAAAGAAAAUGGCCGAAAAUAGAAAAAUUUUUAAAACAGUUUUUAAUAUAAAGAAAUUUAAUUAUUUUGUUAAUUCUAUUCUAAUAAACCAUAAAAAGAUGUUAACUGAAUUGAUCGAUGUUGGAAUAUUGGGAGAAAGCAAUAUAAAAAAUGAUAGGUAUUUUAUUUCCAAUUCUGCAUUCAAAGGGAUAAAGAUUCGAAAAGUUAUCACAAUAUUGAUAUAGGGCUGAAGUAGAUUUGCUUCAUUCUUGCAACUAAAGUGAGCAAAUCGCUAAUAUAUUCCAUAAUAAAACACCAUAGCGGCAAAAAAUUGGGAGGACGUGCUUAUAAUUUUAAAGCAAUUAUCCACCUGAUUUUAUGCGAAAGAAACUUUGAACAUCUGGUUAUGGUUAGAUGUGCUCAUAAAUUACAUAUUUACAUAUUACGUAUGUUCCCGAACUUGUCACUAUUCAAUGUUUAUACAUAAUCAAAAAGAAAAAAGUGCUUUGAAAUUUAAAUGUGGACCAAUCCUGGUUAGUACAGGAACAUACAUAUAUGUACAUACAUAACCCGUUAUUGUUAAAUUGCAGUUUCACUUAGAGUAGUACUGGCCAUUAAUUCUACGUAAGUAAUUUUAAAAGCAGAAACGUAUACUUUUUUGCGACAUCAGCAAUUUGCUUUAAAACGUUCAAAAGCACUUUUUGCGAAUUCUUGCUAUUUAGAGAUUAUUUUAACAGCUUUAGAAUUAAAAAAAAUCAAUUUCCGAAAAUCUUUAUGAAAACAAAGAAGCCUUUUUUGAAAAAUUUUUCAAUGUAACUUAGAGCUUUUUGCAUUUCAUAUGACGAUGUGGUAAUACCUCUAUUAUGGUUUACAACAUAACCAUUUUGGUGUUGUAUGUCGUCACCUGAAAUCUAAAAAGGCGUAAUAAUCAAAAAAUUUAAAAUCUACUUUUUGGUUGAGAAUGGUCCACUGCAUCAAAAUAUAUGUUUCAAAUUUUUAGAACUCUCUUCAAAAACACCGACUUUAUUGGAAUUAAAUUCAAAAAGGCGUAACCACAAAUUUGAAAGAAAGUCCUAAAAAGCAAUUUACAUAUCGUCACCUGAAAUGCAGAAGGGCGUAAAAACACUUAAAAAUUUUACAGUCGAGACAAAAAAGUAAAUAAAAUUAAAGUUAUUUUUGUUAUAAAAACGAUAUUUUCUUACAAGUAUUGUAUCCCAACAUCGAUAAACGCCUUUGAAUAUAACAGUACCGCCAGACAUAGUCUAAUAUGUUGCUUUUUAACUCGUUCUGGGGUGUGGAAAUGACUAAUUUGUUGUUACGCCCUUUUGAAUUUCACUUCAAUAAAGUCGAUAUUUUUGACAUUAGGAUUCUAAAAGUUUGCAACAACAUGUAUUAUGAUAAAGUGGGCCAUUUCAAUCAAUAAAUCGAUUUUAAAUUAUUUGGUUGCUACGCCUUUUUGCAUUUCAGAUGAUGAUAUGUAAUAGACAAUGUAUGGUGAUACAGUUGUAUUCAAACAUGUUUAUCGAUGUUGGUAUAUAACACUUGGAAGAAAAUAUCGUUUAGUAACAACAAUAGCUUUCAUUUUAUUUAGUUUUUUGUCUAUCCUGUAAAAAUUUUAAGUGUUGUUACGCCCUUUUUCAUUUCAGAUGACAAUAUUUAAAAUUUACAACACUUACUUUAAGUGUUGUCAUUUCAGUUGUCGCUGUAAUUUCUCUGCAAUUACCCUUUACAAGAUGUAAUUUUAACUGUUAAAAACAGAAUUUAAUUGUAUCUGCAUAUCGUCACCUGAAAUGUAAAAAGGCGUAAAAACACUUCAAAGUUUUAUAGGAGAGACAAAGAACUUAAUAAAAUUAAUACUUUUUUUGAUAUAAAAAUGUAAUUAUGUGCAAACAUCAACAAAAACUUUUUUGUCUAAUAUGUUGCUUUUUAGCUCUUUCUGGGGUGUGGAAAUGAGAGGAUUUGUUGUUACGCCCUUUUGAAUUUUAUGUUAAUAAAGUCGGUGUUUUUGACAAUAGAGUCCUAAAAAAUUUGCAACAACAUGUAUUUUGAUGCAAUGGACCAUUUUCAAUCAAAAGAUCAAUUUUUAAAUUUUUGGUUGUUAUUCCCUUUUGCAUUUCAGGUGACGAUAUAAGAUUUUAUAUGAAACGUUUAUGAAGUUACAUAUUUUACAAAAAAGUGAAUAAAAAUUUUAUGGUAUAGCUGUUAGACCUUACGAGAUUAAGUAAAUUCCAAAACUAGAUAUGUAUUGUAGCCGAGACAACAUAUUUUUUUUAUUCAAAAAUCAUAUCGUCGCCUGAAAUGCAAAAAGGCAUAACAACCAAAAAUUUUAAAUAUUCUUUUUUAUUCAAAAAUCAUAUCGUCGCCUGGAAUGCAAAAAAGGCAUAAUAACCAAAAAUUUGAAAGUCGACUUUUUGAAUUUUUCACAAGUCAGAUGUUGGAUAUAAUACAUGGAAGAAAGAGACAUUUUUAUAACAACAAUAGUUUUAAUUUUUUUUUUUAGUUUUUUGCCUCUCCUGUAAAAUUUUGUAUUAUGGGACUGUCGGAAAAAUAGUGUUUCCAAAAAAAAAAACGGGUUUCGGUUUUUUAUUUAUUUAAAAUUAAAUAAAACCAAAAAAUAUUUGAAAAUUUCUAUAUUCGAAAAUAAGUAAUUUUCAAGCAACCGUGUUCAACGAAGUUGAAAAAAUGCUAUGGGCAUUUUAAACUCUUUUUCAUUUAAAAUAAAUAAAUAAAAUAAAUAAAAAUAAAAUAAAAA